GGAUGUGAGGGUGAUCUGGCUGUGACAUUUGUCACCCCAUUGAUCGCCAGGGUUGAUUCGGCUGAUCUGGCUGGCUAGGCUGGUGUCCCCUUCCUCCCUCACCGCUUCAUGUGCAUUAGUCCCUCCCGAAGCUCCUCCCUCAGUCAAAGAGGAUGGCCUUCCCCAAAUAGAGACGGACCAGUCUUCGGUCUGAGAGUAUAAGAGUAGCUGCGCUCCCCUGCUAGAACCUCCAAACAAGCUCUCAAGAUAUAGAGGAGAGCAAAUUGUUUAACAAUCAGGAAUCUAAAGGUAAGAGUAUAGCAGAUGAGAUUU
ensembl:misc_RNA 7SK 7SK RNA